GACGAACGCUGGCGGCGUGCCUAACACAUGCAAGUCGAGCGGAGAUCAGGGAGUGCUUGCACGAACUGAUUUUAGCGGCGGACGGGUGAGUAACGCGUGAGCAAUCUGUCCUGCACGGGGGGAUAACACUUGGAAACAGGUGCUAAUACCGCAUAAGACCACGCUAUCACAUGAUAGAGGGGUCAAAGGAGCAAUCCGGUGCAGGGUGAGCUCGCGUCCCAUUAGAUAGUUGGCGGGGUAACGGCCCACCAAGUCGACGAUGGGUAGCCGACCUGAGAGGGUGAUC
rnacentral:rRNA from 1 species